GCCAGGCGCAGUGGUGUGUGCCUGUAGUCCCAGCUAUGCGGGAGGCUGAGACAGGAGGAUCACAUGAGUCCAGGAGUUCUAGGCUGUAGUGCACUAUGCAGAUUGGGUGUCCACACUAAGUUCGGCAUCAAUAUGGUGACCUCCCAGGAGCAGGGGACCACCAGGUUGCCUAAGGAGGGGUGAACUGACCCAGGUCGGAAAUGGAGCAGGUCAAAGCUCCCGUUCUGAUCAGUAGUGGGAUUGCGUCUGUGAAUAGACACUGCACUCCAGCCUGGGCAACAUAGUGAGACCCUGUCUCAA
rfam:Otolemur garnettii contig137456, whole genome shotgun sequence.